rnacentral:rRNA from 1 species
AGUGAACGCUGGCGGUAGGCCUAACACAUGCAAGUCGAACGGCAGCGCAGUAAGAGCUUGCUCUUACGGGUGGCGAGUGGCGGACGGGUGAGGAAUACAUCGGAAUCUACUUUUUCGUGGGGGAUAACGUAGGGAAACUUACGCUAAUACCGCAUACGACCUACGGGUGAAAGCAGGGGAUCUUCGGACCUUGCGCGAUUGAAUGAGCCGAUGUCGGAUUAGCUAGUUGGCGGGGUAAAGGCCCACCAAGGCGACGAUCCGUAGCUGGUCUGAGAGGAUGAUCAGCCACACUGGAACUGAGACACGGUCCAGACUCCUACGGGAGGCAGCAGUGGGGAAUAUUGGACAAUGGGCGCAAGCCUGAUCCAGCCAUACCGCGUGGGUGAAGAAGGCCUUCGGGUUGUAAAGCCCUUUUGUUGGGAAAGAAAAGCAGCAGGUUAAUACCCCGCUGUUCUGACGGUACCCAAAGAAUAAGCAUCGGCUAACUUCGUG